AGAGGAAGAGGGAGAAGAAGAAGUAAGUUUUGUUCAGAUCAAAGUCAAAUACCAAUGCAAUUAAUAAAUACGUCGUCGUCUCAAUACUGAAUCUUAAACCAGAUCAAUUUGCUUCACCUCAAAGAUUAAAACUUUGCACAACAUUCCAAAAUUAUAUCGAAUACAGAAACUCUUGAGCAGACAGAAAGAAGCAGAGUACAUAAAGGAUCUGCUAAAUUUGCAAUGGUAAAACAAACUCUAAGAAGAUUGCAAAAGAAGAAACUUUCAAAAUUGGCAGAGGCAAAGAGACAGAGGAGAUGAUCCAUCAAUCAGUUCAGUCCUCACGCCAAU